rnacentral:rRNA from 1 species
UGGGGAAUAUUGCACAAUGGGCGAAAGCCUGAUGCAGCAACGCCGCGUGAAGGAAGAAGGCCUUCGGGUCGUAAACUUCUGUCCUUGGGGAAGAAGAACUGACGGUACCCAAGGAGGAAGCCCCGGCUAACUACGUGCCAGCAGCCGCGGUAAUACGUAGGGGGCGAAGCGUUAUCCGGAAUUAUUGGGCGUAAAGAGUACGUAGGUGGCAACCUAAGCGCAGGGUUUAAGGCAAUGGCUUAACCCAUUGUUCGCCCUGCGAACUGGGAUGCUUGAGUGCAGGAGAGGAAAGCGGAAUUCCUAGUGUAGCGGUGAAAUGCGUAGAUAUUAGGAGGAACACCAGUGGCGAAGGCGGCUUUCUGGACUGUAACUGACACUGAGGUACGAAAGCGUGGGGAGCAAACAGGAUUAGAUACCC